CAAAAGACACCUGCGUGCACAUGUAUAUUUGUAUUUGAGAUAAAUUUUAAAUAUGAAGCAACUUGAGAUAGUAGUAAUCUUAACUUCUUAAGAGGAUCAAGACUUCCAUCAUAAUCUUAAAAGUUGUCCGAAGAGUUGGUUUGCUUUCAUCCACGUCUGAUUUGAUCCGGAUAAUUCUUACUUGUGCUAAUAAUCUCCAUAAUAGGGGUUAACUUCGAUUAUGCUUGGUAUUAAGAGAUUCUUAUGAAUAUUUUUUCAGGUUCUAGCUGCCCUUCGCCAUUCGUUCCACUUUUUAAACUGUGAGAAAGCCAGAAGGAAGGUGGGAGUAUUAAUUACUAGGAAACCUCUGCAUUACAAAGGAUGCUUAUUUCACCUCACAAUUAAAGGAUUUGUAGCAAAGGUAUAUUGUUAUUUACAGAAUUAAUUUGUCAAGUUUAUUAACCUAUUCAAAUUAAUUCAAUCAAUUAAAAAUUCAUAGUUAAACAAACAAACGUUCAAGAAUAACUUUAUGAAAACAAAGUUUGUAAGUGAAGAGAACUACGACAUUAAACAUUACAAGAAAAACAAUAUUUUUUGUUUAAGUUUAUUUCUUCAUAUUAUUAUAUUUUUAUUUAAUUUUAGUAUUUCUAUUCGGGUACUUAGUUAUGUUAAAAAUAUAUCGAAUAUGAUUCUUAGGACCGCGAGUGCUCUGUAAAUGGUAGUUAUUUGUUUGGCCCUCCGAAAUAAUUUUUCAAUCCAAAUUUAUUUUUCUUAGCCAAAUACUCCAUUGUUUUAAUUUUAGUUUUCAGAACUAGGACGAAUAGUUAUAGUAGAUGAAGGACUUGAAGGAAAUUUGAUGUUGAACAAUCUUCCUCCAAUAAUUAUCUUUGAAAUUUACUUCAAUGUUGAUUCGAUUAUAUUGAUCAAUUUUUAUGCCCUUAAAAAUUAUAUUAUUUUUAUAAGAAAAUUAUUCUGUAUUGGAUAAAAUUGGAAUAUCUGAUAAUCAUUAAGAAUAUAUAUGCAGUUGAAAAUAUGUUAUUUGAACUACACAUUUCAUAAUAUUUAACGCUUAUAUGAUUCGUGCAAAGCACAAACAGAGAAACUAGUAUAUAGUAAAAUAUGUGAUGAGGAGGUAACUACGGCAAAUAUGCCCCAGUUAUGCCCUUAAAAAUACUUAGCAAUAUGUAAUGAAUCAUAAUUGAUAGAAAAAAGAAUUGCAAGAAAUUUGGAAAAGAAACUGGGGAUGUUCUCAUUCGAUACUUCAAAAUUUAUGUGCGAAUACAUUCUAUAGCAAGAACCAAUUGUAACUAACUGAAAAAUCCCCAAAGUGUCAUAGUUAACAACUCAAUUAAUUCUAACAAUGACCAACUGUUUCCCGGAAAGGAUUAAGUGCACGACCUCAAAUUCCAUUGGCCUGGAUUGUAAGAAAGCCCUGCUUUUAUCCACCUAUGACCUAAACUAAAUCGCCCCCUUAAGUGCAUGAAUUUUCUUUACUAAGAAAUUUCACAUAAGCAGAAUAUAUAGAUCUCUUGUUCAGUUUUCAUCUAAAACCUUAACUAAAGAAUGACUUACUAACUAAAGGAUGUUGCAGAAACUGUGCUAUUGAACAUACUUUGAUGCUAAGUUGCUUGUCGAAUCCUUCAAAAAUGCACUAUUUUUGGAGGAUCCGACACAUAUCCAUCGACAUUUAUAAAGAGUCUGAGCAACAUAGUUUUGAUGACGUAACCGCACGACUCUCCCACGUGAGCUUAGGAGCAUUUACGUCCAACAUUUUCCUCGUCCUCCUUCUUCUUACCAUCCCUAUGCAACAUUCCGGCCAUUAUUUCUUUCAUCCGACUCUACAAUAAUUUGUUGUUGUCUUAAACACUUCUCAAAGAAAAAUGAUUUGCCCCACAAAUCUGACUUUCUUACAUUACGGAGCCGUUUGGACAUGCAGUUUGGACAUGCAGUUUGGAUUUCUUAAGCUGCAGUUUUUUUUAUAAACAUAAAAACCCCACAAGUUGUGAAAACCAUCAAAUUUUUUCCAAUUCUUAUACAAUCUUACUAAAUGAGUAAAUCAUAGUUCAUAAUAAAAUAAAUACGCUACUAGAAUGCCUUUCUAAAAAAUACAACAUGAAUUGAUCAAACUUUAGUUCAAUAAAAAGGAAAAUUUAACAUGAAUAGUAAUGUAACUACUCUUUAAUAUAAUCCUCUCAUAUGGUAAACAUGAUUGAUAAAUAUAUUUUACCAACUUGCAGAUUAAUAUUUAAUACAAAUGGUUGGUAAAUAUAUCUACCAAUUUAUGGGUUUUUUUUACAAAAUAUAAACGUAUGGGUCAAAAUUUACAUUUAUAUUUUUUGAAAUCAUGAUUUCAAAUCCCAAAUCAUGCCUUUUUGGAUGAUUUGGGAUUUCAUUUCAUGAGAUGAAAUCAGAGAUGAAAUCGCAUUUCCAAACGCCGAUUUCAUCUCAUUAGAUGAAAUCGCAUGUCCAAACGCCUACUAAGUGGCCAGAAGAAAGGUAAAAAGUACGGAGUAAUGGACCAGGAGAGAUGGAGCUUUCCUUGGAAUUCUUCUUUUCCAGUCAAGUUAUCGAAGAUCAAUGUAGAGCUACAAUCAUUAGAAAUCUCAUGGAAUAACCUUGUAUUAUUAGAAAACAUGUCUUGUUGAGUAAAUUUUGAUUUCAUAGAUGUCAAAAUCUCAUGCAAUAACCUUGUAUUAGCAACAGUUCAAUUUGACAAUUAUGAAUGGCAUAAUAUAUUGCUUA